CGAGUCGGCUGGGCGGUCGCGUCGGGCGCCACCACAUUCUUCGGAAUGCGGCGGUUUCCCGCCGAGGAACGUCCGGGCUCCACACGGCAGGGUGGUGGGUAACGCCCACCCGGGGUGACCCGCGGGACAGUGCCACAGAAAACAAACCGCCGAGAGCCGACAGGCACUCGGUAAGGGUGAAACGGUGGUGUAAGAGACCACCAGCGUCCGAGGUGACUCGGACGGCUAGGUAAACCCCACCCGGAGCAAGGUCAAGAGGAACCGCCGAUUGGCGGUUCUGCGCGAACGAUCGAGGGCUGCCCGCCCGAGUUCGCGGGUAGACCGCACGAGGCUGUCGGCAACGGCAGCCCUAGAUGGAUGGCCGCCUCCCCCGCGCGCCGCAAGGCCACGGGGAGACAGAACCCGGCGUAUAUGGCCGCACUCGUCCG
rnacentral:RNase_P_RNA from 1 species